rnacentral:rRNA from 1 species
UACGUAGGGUGCGAGCGUUGCCCGGAUUUAUUGGGCGUAAAGAGCUCGUAGGCGGUUUGUCGCGUCUGCUGUGAAAACCCGAGGCUCAACCUCGGGCCUGCAGUGGGUACGGGCAGACUAGAGUGCGGUAGGGGAGAUUGGAAUUCCUGGUGUAGCGGUGGAAUGCGCAGAUAUCAGGAGGAACACCAAUGGCGAAGGCAGAUCUCUGGGCCGUAACUGACGCUGAGGAGCGAAAGCAUGGGGAGCGAACAGG